UACGGGGGGGGCAAGCGUUGUUCGGAAUUACUGGGCGUAAAGGGCUCGUAGGCGGCCAACUAAGUCAGACGUGAAAUCCCCAGGCUCAACCUGGGAACUGCGUCUGAUACUGGUUGGCUUGAAUCCGGGAGAGGGAUGCAGAAUUCCAGGUGUAGCGGUGAAAUGCGUAGAUAUCGGGAGGAACACCAGUGGCGAAGGCGGUUGCCUGGAGCUUUGCUGACGCUGAGGCGCGAAAGCGUGGGGAGCGAUCCGG
rnacentral:rRNA from 1 species